rnacentral:rRNA from 1 species
UUGUUCACAAUGGGCGCAAGCCUGAUGACGCAAUGCCGCGUGGAGGAUGAAGGUCUUCGGAUUGUAAACUCCUGUUGCCAGGGACGAAUGGCUCCGACCUAACACGUCGGAGAAUGACGGUACCUGGUGAGGAAGCCCCGGCUAACUCUGUGCCAGCAGCCGCGGUAAUACGUAGGGUCCGAGCGUUGUCCGGAAUUAUUGGGCGUAAAGGGCUCGUAGGCGGUCUGUUGCGUCGGGAGUGAAAACUUACAGCUUAACUGUGAGCGUGCUUCCGAUACGGGCAGACUUGAGGUAUUCAGGGGAGAACGGAAUUCCUGGUGUAGCGGUGAAAUGCGCAGAUAUCAGGAGGAACACCGGUGGCGAAGGCGGUUCUCUGGGAAUAUCCUGACGCUGAGGAGCGAAAGUGUGGGGAGCGAAC